GUCUGGCUAGCUCAGUUGGUAGAGUAUGAGACUGUUGAUUUCAGGGUCGUGGGUUUGAGCCCCACAUUGGGUG